rnacentral:misc_RNA from 1 species
AUUACAUAUGACAUGGAUCCACGUUAGACGCUGUACCUCCAGGGCAACACGCAAGCAAUACCAGACCAACUGAAAUUGAAGGAGGCAGACCCAAGAUUUUGCUGAGAAUCAUUCCCAAGGCUGGCAUAAUAGUAUAUUGAGCAGCACAACCAAACAGAAUAGAAAGAGGCCUUUGCAAUAACAAGUUAGUUAACUCUUUGAUCUCCAAUGUAAGACCCAUAGCAAGCAUUAUAAACCAAAGAGUCAAACUAUAUGAAGUGGGACUACA